rnacentral:rRNA from 1 species
AAAAACUGGUUAAUCCCACGCUUCCAAGAAAAGCCUCGUAGCGAGUUUAUCUGGUGACCGUACCGUAAACCGACUCAGGUGGGCGAGGAGAGAAUCCUAAGGCGCUUGAGACAACCCUGGUUAAGGAACUUAGCAUAAUUGCACCGUAACUUCGGGAGAAGGUGCAUUCUGGAGUGUGUAAGAACUUGCUUCUGAAGCACACUGGUAUCGCAGCGAAGAGGGGGUGGCGACUGUUUACUAAAAACACAGGACUCUGCAAACUCAUAAGAGAACGUAUAGGGUCUGACGCCUGCCCGGUGCUGGAAGGUUAAGGAGAGAUGUCAUUUUGUUCACUCAAGAGAAGCAUUGAACCAAAGCCCCAGUAAACGGCGGCCGUAACUAUAACGGUCCUAAGGUAGCGAAAUUCCUUGUCGGGUAAGUUCCGACCUGCAUGAAUGGCGUAACGAUUGCCCCGCUGUCUCAACCAGGGACUCAGCGAAAUUUUACCAAGGGUGAAGAUACCCUUAACCCGCAGCAAGACGGCAAGACCCCGUGAACCUUUACUAUAGCUUGACAGUGAACUUCGGGAUAGUAUGUGUAGGAUAGGUGGGAGGCUUUGAAGCGGUGCCGCAAGGUGUCGUGGAGCCAGCCUUGAAAUACCACCCUUAUUGUUUUGAGGUUCUAACUCAGGUCCCUUAACGGGAUCGAGGACAUUGUCUGGUGGGUAGUUUGACUGGGGCGGUCGCCUCCAAAACUGUAACGGAGGCGCACGAAGGUCGGCUCAGGCUGAUUGGAAACCAGCCGAUGAGUGCAAAGGCAUAAGCCGGCUUGACUGUGAGACCUGCAAGUCGAGCAGGAACGAAAGUUGGUCUUAGUGAUCCGGUGGUUCCGCAUGGAAGGGCCAUCGCUCAACGGAUAAAAGGUACUCCGGGGAUAACAGGCUUAUCUCCCCCAAGAGUUCACAUCGACGGGGAGGUUUGGCACCUCGAUGUCGGCUCAUCACAUCCUGGGGCUGAAGUAGGUCCCAAGGGUUUGGCUGUUCGCCAAUUAAAGUGGUACGUGAGCUGGGUUUAGAACGUCGUGAGACAGUUCGGUCCCUAUCUGCUGUGGGCGUAGGAAAAUUGAGAGGAGCUGUCCCUAGUACGAGAGGACCGGGAUGGACGGACCUCUAGUGAACCAGUUGUCACGCCAGUGGCACGGCUGGGUAGCUAUGUCCGGAAAGGAUAACCACUGAAAGCAUCUAAGUGGGAAGCCUACCUCGAGAUUAGUUUUCCCGCCUGGUAGCAAUACCGGGCUAAGACCCCACGAAGACUACGUGGUUGAUAGGCUGAUGGUGUAAGCACAGCAAUGUGUUGAGCCUACCAGUACUAAUAGGUCGAGAGGCUUGGCCG